rnacentral:rRNA from 1 species
AGAGUUUGAUCAUGGCUCAGGAUGAACGCUAGCGGCAGGCUUAACACAUGCAAGUCGAGGGGCAGCAUAAUGGAUAGCAAUAUCUAUGGUGGCGACCGGCGCACGGGUGCGUAACGCGUAUGCAACCUACCUUUAACAGGGGGAUAACACUGAGAAAUUGGUACUAAUACCCCAUAAUAUCAUAGAAGGCAUCUUUUAUGGUUGAAAAUUCCGAUGGUUAGAGAUGGGCAUGCGUUGUAUUAGCUAGUUGGUGGGGUAACGGCUCACCAAGGCGACGAUACAUAGGGGGACUGAGAGGUUAACCCCCCACACUGGUACUGAGACACGGACCAGACUCCGUACGGAGGCA